rnacentral:rRNA from 1 species
UGAACGCUAGCGGCAGGCUUAACACAUGCAAGUCGAGGGGUAUAGUUCUUCGGAACUAGAGACCGGCGCACGGGUGCGUAACGCGUAUGCAAUCUACCUUUACAGAGGGAUAGCCCAGAGAAAUUUGGAUUAAUACCUCAUAGUAUGUGAGAAUCGCAUGGUUUUCACAUUAAAGUUCCAACGGUAAAAGAUGAGCAUGCGUCCCAUUAGCUAGAUGGUAAGGUAACGGCUUACCAUGGCGACGAUGGGUAGGGGUCCUGAGAGGGAGAUCCCCCACACUGGUACUGAGACACGGACCAGACUCCUACGGGAGGCAGCAGUGAGGAAUAUUGGACAAUGGGCGCAAGCCUGAUCCAGCCAUGCCGCGUGCAGGAUGAAGCAUCUAUGGUGUGUAAACUGCUUUUGUACGAGAAGAAACAUCCCGACGUGUCGGGACUUGACGGUAUCGUAAGAAUAAGGAUCGGCUAACUCCGUG